GAUGAACGCUGGCGGCGUGCCUAAUACAUGCAAGUCGAGCGAACAGACGAGGAGCUUGCUCCUCUGACGUUAGCGGCGGACGGGUGAGUAACACGUGGAUAACCUACCUAUAAGACUGGGAUAACUUCGGGAAACCGGAGCUAAUACCGGAUAAUAUAUUGAACCGCAUGGUUCAAUAGUGAAAGACGGUUUUGCUGUCACUUAUAGAUGGAUCCGCGCCUCAUUAGCUAGUUGGUAAGGUAACGGCUUACCAAGGCAACGAUGCGUAGCCGACCUGAGAGGGUGAUCGGCCACACUGGAACUGAGACACGGUCCAGACUCCUACGGGAGGCAGCAGUAGGGAAUCUUCCGCAAAGGGCGAAAGCCUGACGGAGCAACGCCGCGUGAGUGAUGAAGGUCUUCGGAUCGUAAAACUCUGUUAUUAGGGAAGAACAAAUGUGUAAGUAACUAUGCACGUCUUGACGGUACCUAAUCAGAAAGCCACGGCUAACUACGUG
rnacentral:rRNA from 1 species